AUGCUGACAAUAUAUUGCAAACAAGUUGUUACGACAGUGAGAAAUCACCGAUUACAAACCCACACGAACAGUGACGUCUCUAACAUUUUAUGAUCACAAGCAGAACAGUGGAGCGUUAGGUCUUCAGGUCGACUCGAAGACGAAAGAAAGGAACAAUCCAAAAAAUUACAUCAUCUAUUAAGUGACAGCUCAAUAUCAGUACUUACAAAUGUGACUAGAAAAAAAACACACAGGCCAAAUAUAUAUAUAUAGUAAAGUGGGUUAUGUAUACGCUUUUAUGUUGACAAAAUUUCUCCAAACUGUACAUAUUUAAGGCUACUGUUAUGGAUGCUGUCAUUUAACGCAUGCAGUGUCAUGAACUGACAUGUAGGAUAAAGAUGUGUGUUUAUCUAGCAUUAUGGCCAAAGCUUUAAAUUCAGACAUUCAACUUUAGUCAUUUCUUCAUUCUGAGGUAUGUAACUGUUCUAAAAAAUACAUUAGCUACCUCAACUAAAGUGCCCCCCCUCCCCAAUUUUGUAAUAUUCUGAAAAUAUGAACCAUUUAUUGCCCACCAUGCUCCCACCCCAAAGUUAAUGCUGGACCCUAUAGAUGGAAUAAUAAAUGUGUUUUACUGAGAAGCACUUUUGCACCAUUAAAUCGAUCUUAUUUUUGUCAUAACCCUGAUUUUUGUCCUGGUGUUGAGCAUUUAGUCUAUGCAAAAGAGAGAUUUGUGAUUUACCCAAGACAGGGAUAUAUUUGGAUAAAGAUGGGACUGGAAAAGCAGAGGCUGAAAAGCGUUUUUAUUUUUAGCAAACAAUGGUUUGUUUUAAUAAAGAUGUACAGUUAAUAAAGAUUUUAUAGUGUGACCUGAGAGAUUUUAUUGUUGUCCAAGCUGAAGGGUGUUGAGUGAUAUUGUUUUGAAGUUUUAAAGAUAAUGGUACUUGAUUGAUGUUUAAUGCACACUUUCUACACCCAUUACACUAUUGUUCAAUAGGAAAAGCAACUUCCAUAAAUUAGUACAUUUUAUAAUUUAUUCCAAAGAAACUAAAUUUUACACACUAAGAGUUAGACAUGAAACAAGCAUAAAAAUAUUACUGCAUCAAAAAAGCAGAAACUGAAUAUUUAUGCAGGUUGUUAUCAGUAAUUUUGGGUGAUUUGUCAAAUAUCCUUUUUAUUAUAUAUACAUAUAUAUAUAUGUGUGUGUGUGUGUGUGUGUGUGUGUGUGUGUAUUUUUUCUUUUUAAAUAUUAUAAUUUCAGAAGUUUUUAUGACACUAAAACUCAGUUGACAACACCAUCUUAGUAAAAACAUCACAG
rnacentral:lncRNA from 1 species